CGGUUCGAGUCCGCUUACCUCCACUGAUCCACUACCUGAUAACUCAAAUUGGAGAUUGUUAUUUGUUAAAUGUGAUUUAGAUGUUGUUCAACUGAAGGAACCUAGCUUCCUAUCACUCCUGAAUUAAUUUUAGGCUGAUAAGACGCUGGGCUCACUGAAUGUUCUAAGGGAAAUUCAGUUUGUUUCAGCA
rnacentral:misc_RNA from 1 species